rnacentral:rRNA from 1 species
UCCAGACUCCUACGGGAGGCAGCAGUGGGGAAUAUUGCACAAUGGGCGAAAGCCUGAUGCAGCAACGCCGCGUGAAGGAAGACGGUUUUCGGAUUGUAAACUUCUGUUCUUAGUGAAGAAUAAUGACGGUAACUAAGGAGCAAGCCACGGCUAACUACGUGCCAGCAGCCGCGGUAAUACGUAGGUGGCAAGCGUUAUCCGGAUUUACUGGGUGUAAAGGGCGUGUAGGCGGGACUGCAAGUCAGAUGUGAAAACUAUGGGCUCAACCCAUAGCCUGCAUUUGAAACUGUAUUUCUUGAGUGCUGGAGAGGCAAUCGGAAUUCCGUGUGUAGCGGUGAAAUGCGUAGAUAUACGGAGGAACACCAGUGGCGAAGGCGGAUUGCUGGACAGUAACUGACGCUGAGGCGCGAAAGCGUGGGGAGCAAACAGGAUUAGAUACCCCCGUAU